GGGCAAGUGACGCAGUGGUAGCGUGUUCGCUUUGCAUUCGUAUAGAGUGUGCGAGAAGUCCUGGGUUCAAUCCCCAGCUUGUCCA